rnacentral:rRNA from 1 species
AUUGAACGCUGGCGGCAUGCCUUACACAUGCAAGUCGAACGGCAGCACGGGUGCUUGCACCUGGUGGCGUGUGGCGAACGGGUGAGUAAUACAUCGGAACGUACCUUAUCGUGGGGGAUAACGCAGCGAAAGCUGUGCUAAUACCGCAUAAGCCCUGAGGGGGAAAGCGGGGGAUCGAAAGACCUCGCGCGAUUAGAGCGGCCGAUGCCUGAUUAGCUUGUUGGUGGGGUAAAAGCCCACCAAGGCGACGAUCAGUAGCUGGUCUGAGAGGACGAUCAGCCACACUGGGACUGAGACACGGCCCAGACUCCUACGGGAGGCAGCAGUGGGGAGUUUUGAACAAUGGGGGCAACCCUGAUCCAACAAUGCCGCGUGAGUGAAGAAGGCCUUCGGGUUGUAAAGCUCUUUUGUCAGGGAAGAAACACCGGCUCUAACACAGUCCGGGAAUGACGGUACCUGAAGAAUAAGCACCGGCUAACUACGUGCCAGCAGCCGCCGUAA